AGUUGAGUAGCUCAGUGGGAGAGCACUUCGUUAACACCGAAGAUGUCGUGAGUUCGACCCUCACCUCAACUACCA
rnacentral:tRNA from 1 species